rnacentral:rRNA from 1 species
CCUACGGGAGGCAGCAGUGGGGAAUAUUGCACAAUGGGGGGAACCCUGAUGCAGCGACGCAGCGUGAGUGAAGAAGUAUUUCGGUAUGUAAAGCUCUAUCAGCAGGGAAGAAAAUGACGGUACCUGACUAAGAAGCCACGGCUAACUACGUGCCAGCAGCCGCGGUAAUACGUAGGGGGCAGGCGUUAUCCGGAUUUACUGGGUGUAAAGGGAGCGCAGACGGCUGUGCAAGUCUGGAGUGAAAGGCGGGGCGCAACCCCCAGACUGCUGUGGAAACUGUAAAGCUGGAGUGCAGGAGAGGUAAGCGGAAUUCCUAGUGUAGCGGUGAAAUGCGUAGAUAUUAGGAGGAACACCAGUGGCGAAGGCGGCCUGCUGGACUGAAACUGACGUUGAGGCUCGAAAGCGUGGGGAGCAAACAGGAUUAGAUACCCCAGUAGUC